ACGGGUGAGGAAUACAUCGGAAUUUGCCCUGUCGUGGGGGAUAACGUAGGGAAACUUACGCUAAUACCGCAUACGACCUAACGGUGAAAGCGGGGGAUCGCAAGACCUCGCGCGGUUGGAUAAGCCGAUGUCAGAUUAGCUAGUUGGCGGGGUAAAGGCCCACCAAGGCGACGAUCUGUAGCUGGUCUGAGAGGAUGAUCAGCCACACUGGGACUGAGACACGGCCCAGACUCCUACGGGAGGCAGCAGUGGGGAAUAUUGGACAAUGGGGGCAACCCUGAUCCAGCAAUGCCGCGUGUGUGAAGAAGGCCUUCGGGUUGUAAAGCACUUUUAUCAGGAGUGAAACACGUAAGGUUAAUAACCUUGCGGACUGACGGUACCUGAGGAAUAAGCACCGGCUAACUUCGUGCCAGCAGCCGCGGUAAUACGAAGGGUGCAAGCGUUACUCGGAAUUACUGGGCGUAAAGCGUGCGUAGGUGGUUUCUUAAGUCUGCUGUGAAAGCCCCGGGCUCAACCUGGGAAUUGCAGUGGAUACUGGGGAGCUAGAGUGCGGUAGAGGGUAGUGGAAUUCCCGGUGUAGCGGUG
rnacentral:rRNA from 1 species